GCCGAGGAAUAGCUGAGGUCAGCAGCACGCUCCAGCCUCGCCCCUCCUUCCUCCCGUCUUUAUAUGGGACGCAGGCUGCGGGGAGUGGGGUUGGAGCGGGGGGGCGAUCAGGUGGAUUAAUCCAUCAACGGUCCCCCCGGACCGUCAGCACGUGAGCAAAGAACAGGCCGGGCUAAAGGAUGGGGGCGUUGUGUGUUGGGGGGGGGAGUUGGGGGGAUAUUGCGAGAGGCAAGGCAAGGGUGGGAGGAGGGGAGGGGGCAGGGGAGGGAGAAAGUGAGAGGAGGGUGAAGCAGACAAGGGGACCGGGUUGGCAGUGCGGUGGGGGGGGGGGGAGGAAGAAAGAGAGAGAGAGAGAGAGGAGGGAGGGAGCACAGUAUUCCAUUGCCCAUCUGGUUAACACUGCGACACACACACACACGUCUAGAGUCCAAGGUUUGAGCCUAUAAACACCUUUUCCAUAUUAUUCGGCUCUCCCACCCCCGCGCCAGCAUAUAACCCACGCGGCGACGGCCAAUUUCAGCUCCGGGAGAAAUUCGCAGGCAAAGUCUGUACCCAAGAUGAGGAGAGAGGCCGGCGCUCUGAAAUCUGUUGUAAAAUCAGUGCAAGAUAACUUUUUUCUUCCCCUUCUGCACCCCAGAAAAUAAAAUGGAAUGCUGGUUGCCAGAGGGAUGGAGGCAAAAAUAGGUACCUAUCGAUCCCUAUCGCUCCCUCCACUGCAUCCGUCCCUUUCUCCCACCACUGAGCAAAGCUCCAGAACAGGCCGGCAUUUUCUACUCCUUUUGGGAACACUCUUCCUCCCCUCCCCCCCCGCGCAACGUUUCCUAACACAGCUACCCAAAUUCCUCGCCAUGCAGGGAAUUCCUCCGCCCCCCUCGUCGUUUCCCCUCCCCUUCCUCCUCCAAAUCGACCCCCUCCCCUCGAGCAAAACUGCUCCUUCGACAGUCGUUUCUCUCCACCCGGAGGGUUGAUUAACUCUUGCCUCCCCUCCCCUUCCUCGUGUCCAGCCAAAGGCAGAACAAUAGGGACACGUGUCUGAGGAAGAAGAGGAGGGGAGAGGGGGGUGGGGAGGGGGGGGAAAGAUUCUCUCUCUCUCUCUCUCCCCCCCCAUCCCUCUCUUCACCACCAUCCACGGUUUCUUUGUCUCGGUGCAAACCCAGGGUGGUUUAAGACCCAGCAAAUUAUGAUUGUUAUUGAGCCUGGAUUCAAGGGCGGUGAGAAACCCUGAUUUCCCAGUUCAACAAAAGGUGGAGUACUUUGACCUUUGGAAAAGCGAGAAUGGAGAAGGAGAAGAGUCAGUUUAUUCCUUUUAUCUAGAGCCAGCUGAAGUUAUUUCGCUGCUUGAGACGAGAAGGAGAAAACAAAACCCGCAAUGGUGCCACCACCUUCCAAAAUAACGCGAGGCACACAACCCGUGGAGGUAAUUCUCCCCCACAAGCUCCAGUGCACAGCUCCUGGUUACUUUUCAACAGGAGACGUUUGCAGCGGAUUGAACCCCAGACAGAGCCGGAUUCAGGGCAGUGCGAAUGGUUCAGUCGCACGGCAAGCAGGGUGUGUGUAGGCCGAAUUCUGGCAUCGCACAGGGCGCCACUGAAAUCUGAGACCCCUGAGGGUCCACACCUCCAACUUGGUCUUCUGUUCCAUAGCCCUUGAUCACACCCCUAAUCAUCCAGCUGCCCCUUGUCUGUUUGUGAAGCUGCCUGUGUCUUCAUUUGACCCCAGAAAAAGGCAGUGGUCAUGGGAGGACAGCACAGACCCCAGCUUGUUCAAGGUGCAUUGCAAACCUCUCUCUCUCUCUCUCUCUCUCUCUCUCUCUCUUUCUCUUUCUCUCUCUCUCUCUCUGUGUGUGUGUGUGUUCUGCACAGACUCUUCUUGACUUUGACCAUUUCCAGUUCCUUCGGGGUAUAAAUCAGGGCCUGUUCCUUACUCUGUGCCAUCAGGCCAGGACAGCCACUAAAAAGUCCACCAGGCGUUUGACGGAUGGUGUUUCUUUGCCUGUUGCCAAUGCCUGUCAGCUUGGGCCUAGCAGCCUGUUGAAAUGGCUCCCUCUCAAAUCCACAAAGCGUUGCCAGCCUGGGGAUGAAAUGAAUCCUGUCCUCCGUGUCCUUGGAUAAUUCAUUUUAUCGCAACCAUUGUUUGUUUAGCCUGUGGCCUAACUACUGCACCAGGAAGGCUACAGAUUGCAAAGUUUCCCUGCAGCUUUCAGAGCAGAAACUAAUGCACCGUCCUUAAUCUAGGAAGCAGCUGCGGCAGACCUGUGACAUUACAGAUGUUGCCAUAUCCCAGAUGUUCACAUUAUCCCAGACUAUUGCCCAUUCUGACUGGGGCUCAGGGAUGGACAAAUCUUUCCAAUUCGGUUUCUUAAAGUUUCUCAUUUUGGAAAUAGUUCAGUUCUCCACAUUUAUGUAACUGCAAAGAGUCCCUAUGAAAACCUGUCAGCAUUUUUGCGCAAAUUUCUCCUAAUAUUUGCAUAUUUACCUGCUAUACACAUUUUGCAAACUAAUAAUAGUAGUAGUACGCUAUUACUUUUAUUUGCAUUUUAAUGCCUGCUUUUUUGGAGCAUAUGCACUUUUCUACACAUUAUUUGGUUGGAAUGCUUUGCUGCGAAAUUUGGAGAAGUGUGACUUUUGGAUACCUGUGUUUUAUUUCAUGCAUUGUUGAGAGCUGUAGCUAUUGGGGUGGGGGUGGGGGGCUGGCUACAUUUUUUUUUGUUCUGGGUGAAGCCUCCAAAGGGGCUCCAUUGAGGCUCCCAGCCUGUGUUUGUACACAGCAACGUUUCUUUGACCCGGGUGAAAAUGAGCCUUGUUUCAUUCCGCAUUGUUUCAGGAACUGUGAAUCAUGUAAGGUAAAGGUAAAGGGACCCCUGAUCAUUAGGUCCAGUCGUGGCCGACUCUGGGGUUGCGGCGCUCAUCUCGCUUUAUUGGCUGAGGGAGCCGGCGUACAGCUUCCGGGUCAUGUGGCCAGCAUGACAAAGCCGCUUCUGGCGAACCAGAGCAGCGCACGGAAACGCCGUUUACCUUCCCGCCAGAGCGGUACCUAUUUAUCUGCUUGCACUUUGACGUGCUUUCAAACUGCUAGGUUGGCAGGAGCAGGGACCGAGCAACGGGAGCUCACCUCAUCGCGGGGAUUCGAACCGCCAACCUUCUGAUUAGCAAGUCCUAGGCUCUGUGGUUUAACCCACAGCGCUACCCGCGUCCCGCAUGAAUCAUGUAGGCUUGCAUUAAAAUGUGAACAGUGUCAAAUUUCUCCUCUCAUCCCUACUGGGGGCUGAUGGGAUUUGGAGUCCCACAACCUGCCCUGUGCAGUUUUUCUUUUAAAAUGAAAUUUCAAAAAAAAAACAAAAAAACAACCCUUGAAAUAAAAUUUAUUUUGAAAUUGGUAUUUCAAUGAUAUACAUAUUGUAUAUAAACACAGAAUGGAAAUUAAAUAUAACAAUAAAUAAAAAGUAAACAAUAGCCUGCGCCCCUCCACCCUGGGCCACAAGCCAGGUAAAUGAUCGUAUCACUGCUGCCUGUUUGAUGCAUUUUGUGUGUUGCUCUUGCAGGGAUGAUUCUUCAACAUCAACUUUGUUGGACUAGUCAAGUUGUUCGGAUGCUUGAUUAUUGUCUUCCAAAGCAACUACUCUAUUCCAAACUUAAAAAUGGAAAGCGUAAUGCUGGUGGUCAACAAAAGAGGUUCAAAGACUCAAGGCAAAUCUUUAAAAAAUGUAGUAUAAACGCCGACAACUAGGAAACACUGACCUGCGAGUGCUCCAGUUGGAAAACAGCUUUUACCAAAGGUGUCGUAGACUCUGAAAAAGCAGGAAUUCAGGGUGAAAAGGAGACACGUGCUAAGAGGAAGCCAUGCUUGGCAAAUCCACGCUGAGAUCAACUCCCACCUGGAAAGCAAUGUCCCCACUGUGGAAGGACGUGUGGAUCCAGAAUUGGCCUCCAUAGUCACAGACUCAUUGUUAAAACCGUGUUUAUGGAAGGCAAUCUUACUCGGCUACGAGGGAUCGCCAAAGAAGAUGACGACUUUGGUAUCUGACCCCACUCCCCACCAGCAUGGGGCCCCUGGAUGUGGCCCCACAGGCUGAAAAAGACCCCUGAUGCAAGCUGAUGGCCCUGUAUGUUGUUGCUGUUGAUGCCAGUGCCGGUGUCACACCCUAGAAAACAGGAAGAUGGAAAGGAGACCAGACAAAGCCCAGAUGGCCACCGCUUCUGGACACACAACCAGAGUUUUUGACCUCUCCAUCCAAAAGAAGCUUGUAAUUGCAACUUCUCUUUCUUUCUCUUAUGCUUCAACCUGCCCAAGAUGGGUUGGCCUCUAUGUUUAUUGUAUUCAUAUCCCCCCUUCUCCCUUCCCAGGAGCUCAAGGAGGUGUACGUGGUUCUCCCUGCUUCUCAUUUAAUGCCCACAACAACCCCGUGAGGUAGGUUAGACUGAGAGACAAUGACUGGCACAAGGUCAGCCAGAGAACUUCAUCGCCAAGGGAGAAUUCGAACUCUGCCCUUGUCUGCCCAAGUCUGAAACUCUAACCAUUGCAUCCCACUGGCUUUCUGUAUCUGUUUCCCCUUCCUCAAUACAGCCCCGUACUCUUAACUCCUUCACCACCCCCACUUUUUUUUUAAACCCUCACCAACCUCACAUUGGGGGCUAUCACAUUCAGUUGAGGAAAAUUAUUUCCAUACAGCUGCCCAGAAAGCCACGAAUUUUAAGAUCAU